rnacentral:rRNA from 1 species
AUGCAAGUCGCACGAGAAAGGGGAGCAAUCCCUGAGUAAAGUGGCGCACGGGUGAGUAACACGUGAAUCAUCUACCUCCGAGUGGGGAAUAACCUAGAGAAAUCUGGGCUAAUACCGCAUAACACUUACGAGUCAAAGCAGCAAUGCGCUUGGAGAGGAGUUCGCGGCCGAUUAGCUAGUUGGCGGGGUAAUGGCCCACCAAGGCGAUGAUCGGUAUCCGGCCUGAGAGGGCGCACGGACACACUGGAACUGAAACACGGUCCAGACUCCUACGGGAGGCAGCAGUGGGGAAUUUUGCGCAAUGGGGGAAACCCUGACGCAGCAACGCCGCGUGGAGGAUGAAAUAUCUUGGUAUGUAAACUCCUUUCGAUGGGGAAGAUUAUGACGGUACCCAUAGAAGAAGCCCCGGCUAACUUCGUGCCAGCAGCCGCGGUAAUACGAGGGGGGCAAGCGUUGUUCGGAUUUAUUGGGCGUAAAGGGUGCGUAGGCGGUUUGGCAAGUCUUAUGUGAAAUCUUCGGGCUCAACCCGAAGCCUGCAUAAGAAACUGCCGGGCUUGAGUAUGGGAGAGGUGAGUGGAAUUUCCGGUGUAGCGGUGAAAUGCGUAGAUAUCGGAAGGAACACCUGUGGCGAA